CCUACGGGAGGCAGCAGUGAGGAAUAUUGGUCAAUGGACGAGAGUCUGAACCAGCCAAGUAGCGUGAAGGAUGACUGCCCUAUGGGUUGUAAACUUCUUUUAUAUGGGAAUAAAAUGUUCCACGUGUGGGGUUUUGUAUGUACCUUAUGAAUAAGGAUCGGCUAACUCCGUGCCAGCAGCCGCGGUAAUACGGAGGAUCCGAGCGUUAUCCGGAUUUAGUGGGUUUAAAGGGAGCGUAGGUGGAUUGUUAAGUCAGUUGUGAAAGUGUGUGGCUCAACCGUAAAAUUGCAGUUGAAACUGGCAGUCUUGAGUACAGUAGAGGUAGGCGGAAUUCGUGGUGUAGCGGUGAAAUGCUUAGAUAUCACGAAGAACUCCGAUUGCGAAGGCAAUUCACUAGACUGCAACUGACACUGAGGCUCGAAAGUGUGGGUAUCAAACAGGAUUAGAUACCCGUGUAGUC
rnacentral:rRNA from 1 species